ACAAAGGCUCUUUUCAGAGCCACCCACCUUUUUCCAUAAAAUGAGCU
rfam:Neotoma lepida isolate 417 scaffold_5831, whole genome shotgun sequence.